rnacentral:rRNA from 1 species
GACGAACGCUGGCGGCGUGCUUAACACAUGCAAGUCGAACGGAAAGGCCCUGCUUUUGUGGGGUGCUCGAGUGGCGAACGGGUGAGUAACACUUGAGUAACCUGCCCUUGACUUUGUGAUAACUUCAGGAAACUGGGGCUAAUACCGGAUAGGAUCUCCUGCUGCAUGGUGGGGGUUGGAAAGUUUCGGCGGUUGGGGAUGGACUCGCGGCUUAUCAGCUUGUUGGUGGGGUAGUGGCUUACCAAGGCUUUGACGGGUAGCCGGCCUGAGAGGGUGACCGGACAAAUUGGGACUGAGAUACGGCCCAGAAUCAUACGGGAGGCAGCAGUGGGGAAUAUUGCACAAUGGGCGGAAGCCUGAUGCAGAAACGCCGCGUGCGGGAUGACGGCCUUCGGGUUGUAAACAGAUUUCGCCUGUGACGAAGCGUGAGUGACGGUAAUGGGUAAAGAAGCACCGGCUAACUACGUG